ACGCUCGACACCUACGGGGGCAGCAGUAGGGAAUCUUCCGCAAUGGACGAAAGUCUGACGGAGCAACGCCGCGUGAACGAUGAAGGUUUUCGGAUCGUAAAGUUCUGUUGUUAGGGAAGAACAAACUUCGUUUGAAUAAGGCGGAGUCAUGACGGUACCUAACGAGAAAGCCACGGCUAACUACGUGCCAACAGCCGCGGUAAUACUGAGCGGGCGUGGCAAGGC
rnacentral:rRNA from 1 species